ensembl:piRNA 21ur-418 ncRNA
UAUUUCGCGCCAUCUAGGAAA